GACGAACGCUGGCGGCGUGCUUAACACAUGCAAGUCGAACGGAAAGGCCCUGCUUUUGUGGGGUGCUCGAGUGGCGAACGGGUGAGUAACACGUGAGUAACCUGCCCUUGACUUUGGGAUAACUUCAGGAAACUGGGGCUAAUACCGGAUAGGAGCUCCUGCUGCAUGGUGGGGGUUGGAAAGUUUCGGCGGUUGGGGAUGGACUCGCGGCUUAUCAGCUUGUUGGUGGGGUAGUGGCUUACCAAGGCUUUGACGGGUAGCCGGCCUGAGAGGGUGACCGGCCACAUUGGGACUGAGAUACGGCCCAGACUCCUACGGGAGGCAGCAGUGGGGAAUAUUGCACAAUGAGCGGAAGCCUGAUGCAGCAACGCCGCGUGCGGGAUGACGGCCUUCGGGUUGUAAACCGCUUUCGCCUGUGACGAAGCGUGAGUGACGGUAAUGGGUAAAGAAGCACCGGCUAACUACGUG
rnacentral:rRNA from 1 species